rnacentral:rRNA from 1 species
GAACGAACGCUGGCGGCAUGCCUAACACAUGCAAGUCGAACGAUGCCUUCGGGCAUAGUGGCGCACGGGUGCGUAACGCGUGGGAAUCUGCCUUUCGGUUCGGAAUAACUCAGGGAAACUUGAGCUAAUACCGGAUAACGUCGCAAGACCAAAGAUUUAUCACCGAAAGAUGAGCCCGCGUAGGAUUAGCUAGUUGGUGAGGUAAAGGCUCACCAAGGCGACGAUCCUUAGCUGGUCGGAGAGGAUGAUCAGCCACACUGGGACUGAGACACGGCCCAGACUCCUACGGGGGGCAGCAGUGGGGAAUAUUGGACAAUGGGCGAAAGCCUGAUCCAGCAAUGCCGCGUGAGUGAUGAAGGCCUUAGGGUUGUAAAGCUCUUUUACCCGGGAAGAUAAUGACGGUACCGGGAGAAUAAGCCCCGGCUAACUCCGUG